AUGCCGGCGGGACGGGGUGGGAUCGUGGUGACAAUGCCCCGUUUGUACCCCAGGAAGACGUCAUGUGCCGUCCGGUUGGAAUUUUGGCACGCUGUCCAACCCUGCUGCCUCCUCCAGACUCUCUGCCGGGCAGGGAGCAACUCCCACAACAUCAGCGCAGCCGCACACACAGUGGACAGGAUAGGGAUACUGAAGCCAGCCAAUAGCAGCUCAGAGUGCAGCAGUGUCUCCAAUCCUUACCCAGAAUCCUGCAUGGCUACUCCUCCUCACAACGCAACAUGUAGAGACCCCUCUACUGUGUUCAGCUCUUUGACUGACCUCAACACCACAUGUCCAACAGAGGAACAAGUCAUAGGAACAGCCUGUAACUGCUCUGGGUUCUGCACUGGAAGAGAAAUUGAUGCAUACUAUGCUUUUAGAAUUUCAAUCACGGACAGAACACUAAACGUGUCCUACAUCUCUAAUCUGGUGAGUGUGUGUGUGUGUAUGUGUGUGUGUGCAUGUUGGUGUGUGUGUGUGUGUGUGUGUGUGUGUGUGUGUGUGUGUGUGUGUGUGUGUGUGUGUGUGUGUGUGUGUGUGUGUGUGUGUGUGUGUGUGUGUGUGUGUGUGUGUGUGUGUGUGUGUGUGUGCGUGUGUGUGUGUGUUAUUGCACAUAUGUCCAUGCUUAUCCUCUGUUAUGUUUCUAAUGUGGUAAAUGAAUGGUUUUAUAAUGUGCACCACAUCUCUUCAUGUUCUUAAGAUCUCUCAGCUGGGGACUCGUUCCCUUUGCACCCACGACUCUGGGUAGGUUCUGUAAUACUUCAUGGCAUGCCUACAGGAUCAUAUGGUCAUAAAAGAACACAUAAUCACUGACAAUGUUCUCUUACAGCUCAACAUGCCUGCCCGACAUCAGAACCUCAUACAAGGUAAAUACGAUCCAAAAGGACUUUCAUAUUCAUGAUUCAUGUUUGCAGCUGUUAGCUGAAAUUGACCAUCAGUUUUCCUAAAUAAUGCCUUGUUGAAGGCAGAGUUCCCAACUGGUUGUUAAAUGGAUUCACGGAUGCAGCAUUCUAAAGCUAUGCCGUUGGAUGCAGAGUUCUAAGCAGUUUAAGAGUACUACAAUUAUGCAGAGAGGAAGACUACUGAGCUGAUUCAUAGUACUAAAAUGAUUCAAAGUUUUAAGCAGUUUCAGAGUUCUAAACAGUUUCAGAGUUCCAAACAAAUGCAGCGUUCUUAAGAAUUCCCAGGUUUAAACCUUCAACUUCCAACAUAUAAACAAGGCUAUUCAUUUAACUAAAUGCUCAAGCAUAAGUCUGUCUAAAAUAGUUUAUUUAUCUCAAUGAGAAACGGGAAAGGGAAAAAAUCCUGGUUGUUUUACAGGGGGCAUUUUCAAAUCGAAUCAUUUUAGCCAUGCUCAGCACGGUGCCGUCAGCAGCAUCAACCUAAUCAGUUUUAAUCCAUACUUUUACAUAAUUGUUCAAGCAAAUGUAUGACUCUGUGAUACAUUUUCCCCAGGAUAAUGAAGUUGAAUGUGUACAAACAACUACGAGGUGAGAUAUUGUAUGAUAACACCUUUGUUUACCAAAUUACCCUUAAUAGUUUCAUCGUCAUGUCAUUGUUCAUUCUAUUCAAUGCACAUCGGACAUUUCCUUGUGUUCUAGAAUAGUGUUGAAGAAGGGAUCCUUUAUUAGUACCGUUCUUCCUGUUUCCAUUGGGUUUAGGGCUUUUGAGGUUUUUCAUUGGGUGAUUGAGUGUUUCAACUUUACAGCUUGGGCGGAGCGGGAGGGAGAAUAAAAAGUAUUUUAAAAUCAAAAAAUUCCCCUCAUCACAGUAACGGUCCAUUAUCUGCCAACAUCCCAACCCCUCCGGCCCUAAACCCUCUCACUAAAUGAAGACACUGAACUGGCGAUAAUGCUUUUUCAUAACAUAAUGCACUAAAAUGUAUUUGUGAAAGCUUGCUGUUUUCUUAUAUUUUAUCCUAGGCUUGAGUGCAAUUUGAUCAUCAGUUUCUCCCAAAAGCUUCCUACUUGUG
rnacentral:lncRNA from 1 species